rnacentral:rRNA from 1 species
UACGUAGGGUGCAAGCGUUAAUCGGAAUUACUGGGCGUAAAGCGUGCGCAGGCGGUUCUAUAAGACAGAUGUGAAAUCCCCGGGCUCAACCUCGGGAACUGCAUUUGUGACUGUAGAGCUGGAGUACGGUAGAGGGGGAUGGAAUUCCGCGUGUAGCAGUGAAAUGCGUAGAUAUGCGGAGGAACACCGAUGGCGAAGGCAAUCCCCUGGACCUGUACUGACGCUCAUGCACGAAAGCGUGGGGAGC